rnacentral:rRNA from 1 species
ACUCCUACGGGAGGCAGCAGCAACGAAUAUUGGGCAAUGGGCGAAAGCCUGACCCAGCGACGCCGCGUGCAGGAUGAAGCUCUUCGGGGUGUAAACUGCUGUCAGGAGAUAAAAAGCGUAUGGACCUAAUACGUCCAGAGUUGAUUGUCUCCAGAGGAAGCCUCGACUAACUCUGUGCCAGCAGCCGCGGUAAU